CGCGUAGGCGGUUUGUACAGUCAGACGUGAAAUUCCUGGACUCAACCUGGGGGCUGCGUUUGAUACGUGCGAGCUUGAGUUCGGAAGAGGGUCGUGGAAUUCCCAGUGUAGAGGUGAAAUUCGUAGAUAUUGGGAAGAACACCGGUGGCGAAGGCGGCGACCUGGUCCGAUACUGACGCUGAGGCGCGAAAGCGUGGGGAAGCAAACA
rnacentral:rRNA from 1 species